rnacentral:rRNA from 1 species
UGGUGAGGUAAAAGCUUACCAAGGCGACGACGGGUAGGGGACCUGAGAGGGUGACCCCCCACACUGGGACUGAGACACGGCCCAGACUCCUACGGGAGGCAGCAGUGAGGAAUAUUGCACAAUGGGCGCAAGCCUGAUGCAGCGACGCCGCGUGGGUGAAGAAGGUUUUCGGAUCGUAAAACCCUUUUCUGUGUGACGAGUAAAGGACGGUAGCACAGGAAUAAGUCUCGGCUAACUACGUGCCAGCAGCCGCGGUAAAACGUAGGAGACAAACGUUAUCCGGAGUUACUGGGCGUAAAGGGCGUGUAGGUGGUUUCGUAAGUCUGGCGUGAAAUAUCUCGGCUUAACCGAGGCAGGUCGUCGGAUACUGCGGAACUGGAGGACGGUAGAGGCGUGUGGAAUUCCGGGUGUAGUGGUGAAAUGCGUAGAGAUCCAGAGGAACACCAGUGGGGAAGGCGACACGCUGGGCCGUACCUGACACUGAACCGCGACAGCAUGGGGAGCAAACAGGAUUAGAAACCCUGGUAGU